AAAGUCGUAACAAGGUUUCCGUAGGUGAACCUGCGGAAGGAUCAUUACAGAGUUCAUGCCCGCUAUGGGUAGACCUCCCACCCUUGUGUUAUUAUUACCUCUGUUGCUUUGGUGGGACGCGCACCUGUGCCUCGGGCCCUCGCGCCUGGGUUGUGCCCGCCGGAGGAAACCCAAACCCUUCUUGUUAGUGUCGUCUGAGUACUAUAUCAAUAGUUAAAACUUUCAACAACGGAUCUCUUGGUUCUG
rnacentral:misc_RNA from 1 species